UACGUAGGGUGCGAGCGUUAAUCGGAAUUACUGGGCGUAAAGCGUGCGCAGGCGGUUCGUUGUGUCGGUGGUGAAAGCCCCGGGCUUAACCCUGGGAAUGGCCAUGGAAACUGGCGAACUGGAGUGUGGCAGAGGGGGGUGGAAUUCCGCGUGUAGCAGUGAAAUGCGUAGAGAUGCGGAGGAACACCGAUGGCGAAGGCAGCCCCCUGGGCUGACACUGACGCCUCAGGCACGAAAGCGUGGGGAGCAAACAGG
rnacentral:rRNA from 1 species